rnacentral:rRNA from 1 species
GACGAGGGAUCCUAGCGUUGCUCGGAAUCAUUGGGCGUAAAGCGGGUGUAGGUGGCUUUGUAAGUCGGGUGUGAAAGCCCAGGGCUCAACCCUGGAAGUGCAUUCGAUACUGCUAAGCUUGAGUGCGAGAGAGGUUAAUAGAAUACCUGGUGUAGUGGUGAAAUACGUAGAUAUCAGGUGGAACACCGGAGGCGAAGGCGGUUAACUGGCUCGACACUGACACUGAGACCCGAAAGUGCGGGGAUCAAACAGG